UUCCAGCUCCAAUAGCGUAUAUUUAAGUUGCUGCAGUUAAAAAGCUCGUAGUUGGAUCUUGGGUCGUAAAGGUCAGUCUGCCUACUCGGUGUGCACCUACCCUUCCGUCCCUUUUGUCGGCGGCAUGCUCCUGACCUUAAUUGGAUGGGUCACAGCUCCGGCGCUGUUACUUUGAAAAUAUUAGAGUGCUCAAAGCAAGCUUAUGCUCUGAAUACAUUAGCAUGGAAUAACGUGAUAGGAGUCUGGUCCUAUUGUGUUGGCCUUCGGGAUUGGAGUAAUGAUUAAUAGGGACUGACGGGGGCAUUCGUAUUUCAUUGUCAGAGGUGAAAUUCUUGGAUUUAUGAAAGACGGACCACUGCGAAAGCAUUUGCCAAGGAUGUUUUCAUUAAUCAAGAAUGAAAGUUAGGGGCUUGAAGACGAUCAGAUACCGUCCUAGUCUCAACCAUAAAAAAUGUCGACCAGGGAUCGGCGGAUGUUGCUCUAAGGAGUCCGCCAGCAACUUCUGAGUAAUCAGAGUGUUUGGGUUCCAGGGGAGUAUGGUCGCAAGGCUGAAACUUAAAGGAAUUGAUGGAAGGGAACCACCAGGAGUGGAGCCUGCAGCUUAAUUUGACUCAACACGGGGAAACUUACCAAGUCCAGACAUAGUAAGGAUUGACAGAUUGAGAGCUCUUUCUUGAUUCUAUGGGUGGUGGUGCAUGGCCGUUCUUAGUUGGUGGAGCGAUUUGUCUGGUUAAUUCUGAUAAAGAACGAGACCUUAGCCUGCUAACUAGCUACACGGAGGUUCCCCUUCGUGACCAGCUUCUUAGAGGGACUAUAGCCAUUUAGGCCAUGGAAGUUUGAGGCAAUAACAGGUCUGUGAUUCCCUUAGAUGUUCUGGGCCGCACAUGCGCUACACUGAUGCAGCAAACGAGCUUUUCUUCCUGGUUCGAGAGGAUCGAGAAAUCUUCUCAAAUUGCAUCAUGAUGGGGAUAGACCAUUGCAAUUAUUGGUCUUCAACGAGGAAUUCCUAGUAAGCGCGUGUCAUCAACUCGUGUUGACUACGUCCCUGCCCUUUGUAUACACUGCCCGUCGCUCCUACUAAUUGAAUGAUCCGGUGAGGUGUUCGGAUUCCGUCGACGAUGGUGGUUCGCCGCCAUCGACGUCGUGAGAAGUUCAUUGAACCUUAACAUUUAGAAGAAGGAGAAGUCGUAACAAGGUUACCGUAGGUGAACUUGUGGAAG
rnacentral:rRNA from 1 species